rnacentral:rRNA from 1 species
ACCUCUAAGACGAGGAUAACGACUGGAAACGGUACGGCUAAAACUAGGAUAGGAUCAUUUGAGGCAUCUCGAAUGAUUUAAAGGGGACGUUCUAAGCCACACUUAGAGAAAGGCCUGCGGCGCAUUAGCUAGUUGGUGGGGUAGAGGCCUACCAAGGCGAUGAUGCGUAGCCGGACUGAGAGGUCGAACGGCCACAUUGGGACUGAGACACGGCCCAAACUCCUACGGGAGGCAGCAGUAGGGAAUUUUCGGCAAUGGGGGAAACCCUGACCGAGCAACGCCGCGUGAAUGAAAAGACGUAUUUCGGUAUGUAAAGUUCUUUUAUUAAGGAAGAAUAUCACGGAUAGGAAAUGAUCUGUGAGUGACGGUACUUAAUGAAUAAGCCCCGGCUAACUAUGUGCCAGCCGCUGC